UACGGAGGGGGCUAGCGUUGUUCGGAAUUACUGGGCGUAAAGCGCACGUAGGCGGCUUUGUAAGUCAGAGGUGAAAUCCCAGUGCUCAACACUGGAACUGCCUUUGAGACUGCAUCGCUUGAAUCCAGGAGAGGUGAGUGGAAUUCCGAGUGUAGAGGUGAAAUUCGUAGAUAUUCGGAAGAACACCAGUGGCGAAGGCGGCUCACUGGACUGGUAUUGACGCUGAGGCACGAAAGCGUGGGGAGCAAACAGG
rnacentral:rRNA from 1 species